rnacentral:rRNA from 1 species
UUAGGGUUCGAUUCCGGAGAGGGAGCCUGAGAAACGGCUACCACAUCUAAGGAAGGCAGCAGGCGCGCAAAUUACCCAAUCCUAAUACAGGGAGGUAGUGACAAGAAAUAACAAUACAGAACCUUACGGUUUUGUAAUUGGAAUGAGUUAAGUAUAAACCCCUUAACAAGUAUCAAUUGGAGGGCAAGUCUGGUGCCAGCAGCCGCGGUAAUUCCAGCUCCAAUAGCGUAUAUUAAAGUUGUUGCAGUUAAAAAGCUCGUAGUUAAUCUUCUGUUAAUUUUUAUAUAUAAUAUUUCGAUAUUUAUAUAAUAUUAACAUAAUUCAUAUUACUUUUUAGUAUAUGAAACUUUACUUUGAGAAAAUUAGAGUGCUUAAAGCAGGCUAUUGCCUUGAAUACUCCAGCAUGGAAUAAUAUUAAGGAUUUUUAUUCUUCUUAUUGGUUCUAGAAUAAAAAUGAUGAUUAAUAGGAACAGUUGGGGGCAUUUGUAUUUAACAGUCAGAGG